rnacentral:rRNA from 1 species
ACGGGAGGCAGCAGUGGGGAAUAUUGGGCAAUGGGGGAAACCCUGAUCCAGCGACGCCGCGUGAGUGAAGAAGUAUUUCGGUAUGUAAAGCUCUAUCAGCAGGGAAGAUAAUGACGGUACCUGACUAAGAAGCCCCGGCUAACUACGUGCCAGCAGCCGCGGUAAUACGCAGGAGGCAAGCGUUAUCCGGAUUUACUGGGUGUAAAGGGAGCGUAGACGGGAUGGCAAGUCUGAUGUGAAAACCCGGGGCUCAACCCCGGGACUGCAUUGGAAACUGUCAGGCUAGAGUGCAGGAGGGGUAAGCGGAAUUCCUAGUGUAGCGGUGAAAUGCGUAGAUAUUAGGAGGAACACCGGUGGCGAAGGCGGCUUACUGGACUGUAACUGACGUUGAAGCUCGAAAGCGUGGGGAGCAAACAGGAUUAGAUACCCUGGUA